GCCUGUUGAGUUUAAUUUCAGGUCUGACCUGCCCACUGAGUUUUUAAAUGGCCGCAGUAUUUUGACUGUGCAAAGGUAGCAUAAUCAUUAGUUUUUUAAUUGAGAGCUUGAAUGAAGGGUUUGAUGAAAAAAUGACUGUCUCUAUAAAAAUUUUUUAGAAGUUUAUUUUUAAGUAAAAAAGCUUAGAUAAGUGUUGAAGACGAGAAGACCCUAUAGAGUUUAAUACGAGAGUAGGUUUUUAUUAUAAGGAAAAAUAAUGUAUUAAGUUUGUUGGCGUAUUUUGUUGGGGUGAUAGAAAAAUUAGGUGAACUUUUUAAUUUUGAUAUAUUUAUUUAUAAGUGCUUGAUCCUAAAAGUUUAGAUUAAAAGAAUAAAUUACCUUAGGGAUAACAGCGUAAUUUUUUCCAGAGUUCUUAUCGAAGAAAGAGUUUGCGACCUCGAUGUUGGAUUAAAAUAAAUAAUUGGUGUAGAGGCUAGUUAAUUAGGUCUGUUCGACCUUUAAAAUUUUACAUGAUCUGAGUUU
rnacentral:rRNA from 1 species